rnacentral:lncRNA from 1 species
UGGGGCUAGUCUUUGUUCUGCCUGUCAAUUGCUAAGUGCACUGGCAACACUGGGCAUCAGAUGAACCCUUUGGGGGAUCAGGGAAGUUAGUUUCCAAGGCCUGCCUCCCCACCCCUUGCUGACCUUCUGACAUGGCAGAACUGGGGAGGGAUAAGGGUAGCUUCAGCAAGAAGGUGCGGGAGGCUUUGUGCUGUUCUUUAGACUCCAAAUCCAGGCUUCUUUUUUUUUUUUUAAAUGAGUGAACACUUGCCAGUCUGAACCGUCUCUGGUUUACUUCCAGUGUAACUGAAAUGGCCGUUUUUGACUCUUAACCAGCCUUGUAGUUGCUUUCAUGGAGAGAGGAUUUGUGAGUCUCCACUUGCCUUUUUGCCAGAAGCCAGGCACCCCUGUCUCAUCAGGUGCUGUGAAGAGCAGCUUUUGUAAGGGGCUCUGAAAACCCAGCCCAUGAGAUCACUGCUGUGGCCACGCUGCCUGUGUAUGUGAAAAGGGUAGUUAGGCAUUAUAAGUGAGAACCUGGUUUCAAAACAAGUCCUAAGAGGGGCCAGAGUGUGGACCUGGGCUCUGCCAAGUUGGCCAGCAGCCUGUCUUGUUUAUGUAUUAACGUUGACAGUUGGGCCCCUUGGCCUGGGAAUGCUAUUAUUUUCCCUUCAGCUUAGCUGGCUGGCAGCCAUUUCCUAAAACAGUCUCCUAAUCGAAUUUUUCCAGGUUGGAAAGCUGUUCAGGCAUGUGCUGUGCUCCAGGUUGUCUGGAAUCUAUGCUGCGUGUAUUCUUAACUCUGAAAGGAAAUUAUUCAUGGGUGACAUAUUAGAGGAGACUAAAUUGAGAACAUUGGGUUAUUACAGAACAUUAGCUAACUGGCUUUUUGGUGCUACUUCAGAAAGACUGCCAAGUAGAUCUUGGAGAUAGGAGCAGUUGUCCAGCUGUAGACCCAGUGGACGGUGACUGUCUGGAUAAAGGCAUCUCAUCUCCGACAGCACAGAGACAGGAGGAGGACUGGCUGCUUAGUGGGAUGCAAAUGCCUGGGGGUUUUAAAGGCCAGCGAGAGGAAUCUGCGGCAGCAUUUGCAACCUUUGGCUUUCAUUUUUCUGUACUAGUGGGUCUCAAAAUGUAAUCUAGAAGAAAACAAGACCUCUAGCCUGUUCGGGAGGCUUACAAGUAUGAGACGAUUUCAUAGUAGUAAGCGAGGGGCCUGCUCCAGUGUUGUAAAGGAGCAGGCGUAGUUGUGAGAGUUGUUUUCUGCUAAGCCAGACAUGCAUGAGAUUGGAUAAAGCAUGAUACUCUUUUUCUUGUUUGCUUUGUUCUGUGUUAUUGAGAAAGGGCAUCACUGCGUAGCUCAGACUACACUCAGACUCAUAACCCUUCUGUGUUAGCCUUCCAGGUGUGGGGCAGGCAUCACCAUGCCCAGCUUUGCUGGUGUUUUCAAAGUGUCCUCCUGAAUUUUAUAGCAUGUAUUUUUGAUAGAUCCUAACAUGAAUUACUAAUAUGAAUAUUGGUAUAAUUCAUAUAAAAGCUCUUUAAGGCUCACUGAUUAUUUUGAGAACAAAAGUCUGAGCACUGUAGGCUGGGGUGGUGGGGUAAGCCUUAGCUACAUAACCAUGAGACCUUCGGUUCUGAACCCCCCCCCCCCCAGUACAUAUGCAAAAAGCUGCCUUUUUCCUUUUGGUAAUCCUGGUGGUAGUGGAGACAGUAGGCUCACGGUGGGGGUGGGGGGGAGUUGACCAGCUAGUCUAGUCACAAUGCUGAGCUUUGCCUAUAAGAUGAAGAGCAAUAGAGAAGGCACCCAGCAUUGAUCUCCAGCCUCCACACAAACUCGCUUAGCACACAACAAAACCAUGUGAGAACUAUCUACACAAAGACCCUUGUAUUAAUAGUAAUAAUAAUAAUAAUAAUAAUAAUAAUAAUAAUAAAUGGUGUGUGUGUGUAUGGAGGUCAGGACAACUUGGAGGAGUUGGUUCUUUCCUUCCAUCAUGUAGGUCUUAGGAAUUGAACUCAGGUCCUCAGGCUUGGUAGCAAGCCACCUUGCCUGCCCUGUAUCAUCUUUAAAAUGACCAUCAUACUAGGCACAUAACUUACUUUUAUUGUUUACUGUAGGAUAGUUGUCUCCUGUGUCAUAAGUUUACUUGGUAUGCAGUAUUCUAUUAAUACAAUCAUAGUUUAGCUAUGUAAUAUUUGAUACAUUCUCCAUAAAUGAUUGAUCAGUUUCUUUUGUUAGCACUGGGGAUUGAACCUAGGGCCUCAUGCAUGCUAAGCUAGCACUGAACCCCUGAGCUAUGUGUCUUGACCUUGAUCACUUUCUCACAGUUUAAAAAGAAUCGAAGAGAAUCUAAGCUGAUCUGCCUUUGUUGUUGACGUUUGGGGCUAAGUGGAGAAGUACUAGCAGAAUUCCUAGUGUACAGAAAAGAGCUGGCAUAGUUGACCCCUGGGACUUGUCAUCAGAAAGGCCACCUGCAUGGCUAGCCCUAUGCUGGCAUCUGCAAACUGGUGUGAAACUCUUAAGAGGCUGCUUGUACCUGAGUUAAUUCUAUGAGCCGUGUGGUUUAACUAUUAUCCUCCCACCCCACAACAGCCUUGGGUAUUAAAUCUGUGAUGGACUUGCAACCCUUUGUUUAUGUUGUCGGACCUCCUGCUAGAGGGCCUAGGUGUGCCCUGUACAAUUCUACUGCAGUUCAGUUCUUGCAGGCUGCACCUGUUUCCUCUAGCCUCUUUCUGGAUUUGCUGAGACAACCCCCUGCUGCGUGGCUGUGAAGCUCUUCAGACCUUUGUUCUCUGUCUAGCUACUUUGUAUCUAAGGCACUAUAACAUAAUGAGACCUAGCUCUUUCCCCUACUUAACUGUGAGGUUUUGUCAGCAGGUGUUCCAACCAUCUUCCAAGUAGGCUUCCAAGAUCCACCAGGAGGCUCAGAGGUAGACCAAGUUUCAGGAAACGAAGGAAGAAGGAUGGGUUGGGUGCAAUGCUGCUGCCAAAGUUCCUUCCCUAAGGUCCUAAGGUCCUCCUUCUAAGGUACCGUUCUCAGAGGUCACCUAAGGGAACCAGUGAAUGCAUAGGCUUCCUUACAGAACAGUGGGUCAGGGGUUAUGGACAGGAGUGGAAGUGACAUUAAAGCAGCCACAUUGGAAAGUCUGCUUGUAGUGUAGUUAUACCACACUCUCCUUAUGCCUCCUUACUCUCCCAGACCCUGUGAAAUUAGGGCAGAAUUAUGUACUACUGCAAGGGGUGACUGGAUAGUCUCAUGACCCUUCCUUGCUGUCCCCUCCAUUGUGAGGGAUGAUCAUCAGGCCCAGCUGGGAUGAUUUUGGUGGUGGUGGUGGUGGGGGGAUCAGCCCCAACAAAACUGAAGAUGGAGACGGUUUGGCUGGGAGGAUGGCCUACAAAUUUGAUCAUGAUGCAGCAAGGGAUGGUCUCAGAUAACACUGGAGGUCUUUCAGAGAGAUCGGCAGGAGCCUUUUAAGGGUUUGUAGCUGCAUCUUUGUAGAGGAGAAAGUUGGCAGGGCAUCAAGGUCAGCCAGUGGAUUCCAGAGUACAUGGGGACUGAAGGGUUGGAGUGAGGGAGGCAAAUGGACGAGGGGUGCUAGGUGAAUG